rnacentral:rRNA from 1 species
GAUGAACGCUGGCGGCGUGCCUAAUACAUGCAAGUCGAGCGAACAGACGAGGAGCUUGCUCCUCUGACGUUAGCGGCGGACGGGUGAGUAACACGUGGAUAACCUACCUAUAAGACUGGGAUAACUUCGGGAAACCGGAGCUAAUACCGGAUAAUAUCUUGAACCGCAUGGUUCAAUAGUUAAAGACGGUUUUGCUGUCACUUAUAGAUGGAUCUGCGCCGCAUUAGCUAGUUGGUAAGGUAACGGCUUACCAAGGCAACGAUGCGUAGCCGACCUGAGAGGGUGAUAGGCCACACUGGAACUGAGACACGGUCCAGACUCCUACGGGAGGCAGCAGUAGGGAAUCUUCCGCAAUGGGCGAAAGCCUGACGGAGCAACGCCGCGUGAGUGAUGAAGGUCUUCGGAUCGUAAAACUCUGUUAUUAGGGAAGAACAAAUGUGUAAGUAACUAUGCACGUCUUGACGGUACCUAAUCAGAAAGCCACGGCUAACUACGUG